rnacentral:rRNA from 1 species
GCUGGCGGCACGCCUAAUACAUGCAAGUCGAACGAAGUAGCAAUACUUAGUGGCAGACGGGUGAGUAACAUGUAGGUAUCUUCCCAUUGGUGAGGAAUAACACGAGGAAACUUGUGCUAAUACCUCAUAAGUCUUUACGGAGAAAGCUUUAUGCGCCGAUGGAUGAGCCUGCACUUGAUUAGUUUGUUGGUAGGGUAAUGGCCUACCAAGACAAUGAUCAAUAGCUGAUUUGAGAGGAUGAUCAGCCACAUUGGGACUGAGACACGGCCCAAACUCCUACGGGAGGCAGCAGUAGGGAAUCUUGCACAAUGGGGGAAACCCUGAUGCAGCGAUGCCGCGUGAGUGAAGAAGGCCUUUGGGUUGUAAAGCUCUUUCGUCGGGGAAGAAAAUGACUGUACCCGAAUAAGAAGGUCCGGCUAACUUCGUGCCAGCAGCCGCGGUAAUACGAAGGGACCUAGCGUAGUUCGGAAUUACUGGGCUUAAAGAGUUCGUAGGUGGUUAAAAAAGUUGGUGGUGAAAUCCCAGAGCUUAACUCUGGAACUGCCAUCAAAACUUUUUAGCUAGAGUAUGAUAGAGGAAAGCAGAAUUUCUAGUGUAGAGGUGAAAUUCGUAGAUAUUAGAAAGAAUACCGAUUGCGAAGGCAGCUUUCUGGAUCAUUACUGACACUGAGGAACGAAAGCAUGGGUAGCGAAGAGGAUUAGAUACCCUCGUAGUCCAUGCCGUAAACGAUGUGUGUUAGACGUUGGAAAUUUAUUUUCUGUGUCGCAGCGAAAGCAAUAAACACACCGCCUGGGGAGUACGACC